rnacentral:lncRNA from 1 species
GGGAAAGAAAGACUACAAUAACAUUGUUGGUAUUAUAAUAACAUAUAAUUAAACAUACUAUUUGACUUACCACAUGUUACACAUUAAAUGACAAUGCAGGGCCAUAUUGUGAUAUAUUCUUUGCCAUAACAAGAAACAAAAACAAAAGAAUGAAAAACAAUUAUUUUUGUUUUUGUAAAACAGAACACGCUCUCCCCAAAAACCAACCACACCCACCCACCCACUCACACGCACACUCAUGACUCGCUCGCCAAAAGAAACAAAGCCUAAUCAAUCCGCAAACCCAAUCACCACAAAACGACAAUCUAAAAGCAGCACGCGUGCCCCCACCACCUUUACUACUUUCGCAGAUUCCCGCCCUCUCUCUCUAUCACCUUUAUAUGCAACAAUGACUUUUUUAUUUUAUUUUAUUUUUACUCUUUUUUCUUUUUUUCAAUGAAAAAGGGAGGAGGAGGUGAUUGUAUCCAAGCAAACGGGCGGAACCCUAACGGAGCUCAGACGACGUCAGCUAACGACAGCUUAACUGUGACGGAACACCAAGUGGCUAAGCUGAUGGAAGAAGAUAUGGGGUCAGCCAUGCAGUACUUACAAGGCAAAGGGCUUUGUCUAAUGCCCAUCUCACUUGCAACUGCUAUAUCGACUGCCACGUGUCACUCUAGGAACCCCAUCAUCAGCACCAGCAACAACAACAAUAACAACGGCAAUCCCCACCACAAUCCUUUGCUUCAGUCCAAUGGUGAGGGCCCGACCUCACCUAGCAUGUCAGUGCUGACUGUCCAGUCAGCAACUAUGGGUAACGGUGGGGCUGACGGCUCCGUCAAAGAUGCUGCUUCCGUUUCCAAGCCUUGAUCAACGGCGUCGACCGACUUUAUGAUGCGGCUCGUCCAAAGUCUACGAAAAUAAGGCGUCACUAGAUGUUGGACCUUCACGACGUCGUAUUUGUGUAGACUUUGUGACUGAAUCUAACAAACAACAAAAAAGCAAGAAAGAAGCCAAUCCCAAGAACAAAAACCUUAUUUUAUGUUAUUAUUAUUAUUUUAAUUUGCGGGUUAGGUUUUGUUAAUUUUACUAUUAUUAAAUUUUUAAUUUCUCAGAUGGGAUAUCUCCCUCUUUUUCUUUUAUUUAAUAUUCUCUGUCAUGAUUCUCUAUUAAAUAAUUAUUUACAAAAGCCUUUAAUAAUUAGAUUAUAAUUAUGGAUCAAAUGGGUUGUUUUUGUUUUUUUUUUCCCCCAAUGAAAAGGAGGGACAGCUUUGAUUUCUUUUGUUAAAGAAUCAUGUGGAGAGGAUUAGAGUUUAAGUCAACGGUCUGUCGUUUUUACCUUUUCAUUUUUUAAAAAUUAAGAACUAAAGCUCUCUUUAGCUUUAUCAUAAAGGGUUAUCGUUUCUUGUUGUGAAGGGAAAUUGCUAGUUUUUGAUAAUGGGGAAAAAUAAAAGUGAAAAGAAAAAGUCCUCUAGAAGUUUUGUUAGUAUAAAGCCAAGAAGAAAGUAGUCCAAAGAAUUAAAAUUAAAAAAAAAAUGGAAAUGUGUUUUUGUCCACAUUUUCAUUUUCUAUUGAUUGAACCUUGAGCAUUGAAUUUUUGUCUUCUUUGUGAGUGGUUACCAAACUUUGAAUUUUACAAGAGUAUCUUAUAAAUUAAUAAAAAGUUAGAGAGAUCAGUAAUAGAAAAAUUAAAAUUUUGAGAUUUUUUUUUUUUUUUUUUGUAUCAAAGGAGAAUUGAGGAUAGAAAUCUCUGUUGAAGCCGAAUAAAAUUUCAUCAAAAUUUUAUAUUUCCAUUUGGUUGAUUUAGACAAGUCAAUUUGUCCUCUCACUUCAGUUGUGUUUUGAACACGCGUGGGGUCUUAAAAUUACGCCAAGCAAUUGACCACUUGGCAUGUGAAAUGCAACUUUAGGUAGUUGGUAAUCUAAUCAAAGUCCUCUUCGUCUUAAACACUACUUUGACCGCACUCCAAGCCAUAAUGUCCCAUGCUUUAGAGAAGAAAAAUAUUAAUUGACACCUUAUAUUAUAUGACUCAACGGCAUAAAUUAUAGACACUUAGUUAGGACUUAAUUAGAAGAGACAUUUGUUUUGUAUUAGUAUUCCAAGCGUGAUACGUAGUGUUUUUUCACUGUCGGUCGCAAAAGAAAAAUAAUAUAACAAAUAUUUUACUCGAAAAGGCUCAAUCAAUGAUUAAUCCUUUUUAAUCAAGUACACUAAUGUUGUUGUUUGGUAAUAAAUAACAUGAUGGACUACUAUGAUCUCAUCUUUAAUUCUUCAUUAGGAGAGCUUUGACUACGAAUAUGAGAAGGCUGCUACCAUAUAUAAGCGGGUGGCGACUAAGAACAAGCUAGCCCUAUAAUUUUUAUUGCCGAGAAAAAUAGAAAUACAAAAAUUACUAACAAAGUCAAUGCCGAUUCUUUGUUGAGGUGUGCUCGAUGUGUUAACUUAAGGCAUCCUAAUCUGUGUACACAGUGUGUGAAAGAGGUGGAAAAGCAGAGAUACGUUGUAUGAGAAAAGAGUGAAAGAGAAGUUGUUCCAAUGUCACUAUAGAAUCAAGCAGGUAAAAUGUUUCUUUCAGGCCAAUGUGCAACAAUCUUUAAAAACAUAUGCAGAAAGUACAAGAGAAUAAAUUAAACAGCUGGAGGAAUCAGGCAACACUCCAUAAUUGACUGUAUAAAAAAGAGUAGGCAUAAAGCAGAUUUAAGGAAACUCUUGCAAUCUGGAGUAUCUUCUUGUGAUGUUAACACACAGCACAACAUGAGCACUAAGCCAUUUUUAAAAAAAAAUCUUCGAAGAGGAAGAUAAAAGAGGUGCAAUGGAACUGAAAUUUGACUAGAGCGAGCGAACUUUAAAAAAAGCUAGCUUAGCUUAAUCUUUACCAUAUCUUGAUGUCGCUGAUAUGAAAUUAUAAUAUAUGUUCAAAAUGCUGGCAUAUUGAAGUGUUACGAUCUUGAUAAGACAUGCAGUCCACUACUUGGUGUCAAUGCAGAAGGCAGCAAAUAAUAAACACUCCGGAUAUAUCAAAUUCUGCUACCAACUUAAAUUAUUCGUGAACUCUAACAACACAGUGAAGAAAUUUCAUCAUAUAAUAAUAAUGCAGGAAGAGGGUUACUCGUUCUAUUCAUUGAACUUGCGUCACUAUUUGCCAAUAACACAUUUCUCGGGUAUUUGCCGUGUAUCAGGUCUAUCUCAAAGAAUAUACUUGCUCAUUCUUCAUGCCUGGUUACUUUGCCUGAAUGAAGACUUUUCCUAACUUCAUAUGUGAUAUAUCUACUGCAAUUAUCCUCCAUAAAUCUAAGCCCAACGGUUAUCUCAUAGAUUAACGCUUCACUAGCAAAUUUUCAUAUGCCUACAGCAUUGUCUACUCUUGUCUCUGCCAAGUUCAGUAUAGAUAAUAGACAAGCUGCUGCUCUCCUCGAUCAUAUUUUUUCAAGAUGUAUAUUAUCUUAUGAAGGCUUUAGACAUAAGAAAUAAUUCUGCAUUUAUGUUUCUUUAUUACCAUAACUUUUUCCCGAAUGCAUCAUAGGCUUGUGACUCAGGAAAAGAGUUUGUUAUCAGAUCCGCCUUCCCAUGGUGGCUAAGCACAAGCGAAGACUAGUCAGCCCAACUGAUGCUCAACCAUAAAACCUUAUUGAGAUUGAACAUGAUAUAUAAAUACAAUCCUAUGAAUGGCGUUUCAUCCAAAAGACACUUCGAUUCUCUGUUCAUUAUCUAAUUGACAACAUCAUCCAAUUCAAAACCAUUUAUUUCACACUACUGUGGUCAUCUCUUCAGGCAGUUACAUUUAUAAACAAUGCCUUCAUCGUUCUCCAGGUGUAGAAGUAUAGAAAUCUAACAUGAAUGAACUAAAGAUUUGGAAACAAGAACAUUUCAGAGUGGCCACAAAUCAAUGGAAAAGAAAUCAAGUCAUAGAUUGUACUUCUUCUCCUGCCUGAGCAACUAGCAUUAGGUAGAUACUUUUUUUGCCACAAAAGCAAAUGCACAAUUUCAAUCUCAAGGAAGCUAUUGUCCAGCAAAAAAUGUGCAAACAAUAAACAAAAUCUAAAUAAUAAAAAAUCUUUGAAGCAGAUUUUUAUUUGAUAACCCAGACUCCUGCAUCGAGUUGGACCCCAGGCCCUAAACUGGGGGUCAGUCGGGUGUCCCAACCUCAUGAGACAACAAAGGGCGGAAUUUUUUUUAAGCUUACCAAAAGUAUUUAACAUUAGACCUCGGUACAGCCAAGUACCAAAUCUCAAGCCGUCAGCCAACCAAGCUGCCAUAACUGAUGUUUCUUAAUAUGUGGCAUAACACACUUCUAUUAUCCAAUCAUAAUCUCAUCUUUUAAGUGAAACAUCUCAGAAAAAUAUUCUGACCUUGAGGAAUUAGGAUUGUUUUAUUACACACAUCAAGAGAUAUGGCAUUAGUUAUACUGAAUGGUAAAACAAGAUCCAUCCAAGGAGAAAACAAACCCAAGCAACAGAACAAAUAUGUUCAUAAUAUAUCAAUAUUAAAGUGCACAAAUACUAAUUUGAAUAUUCGCAUAAAAAUGGACCUUCACAUUUGAGUGCUUUAACGAACUACCAAAGGAUGCUCCUGAGCUUUUGCUUACCGCUCUCACACACCAUUCUCCACUUAUUUCUAGUGUGAAGAAAGUACGUAUUCCCUGUGUUUUUCUUAAAUCACUUUGGCAUUUAACUUCAUUCUUCAUUGCAUACUCAAAUAUAUAUCUAAUUAGGUAGAACACUUCUUUUCAGUUCAGCUGCGAAUGCAAACAAAAUCACAUUACGAGAAAUGAUCAAACCCUAACUUUGCAGCAAGUAUUAGGACAGUUUAGAACUCCUUGCUAUAACUUGAUCUCAGGUUCCAGCUUUUAUAUCCCUGCCACAAUGGAUUAGCUCAAUCUAAUAAGGGUACCAUCCACCUCAGGUAGUUUGCACCAUAUAAUUGAUAUAUAAUCUUUGAAAAUAAAGUUAUUUUUUUUUUUUAAUCCAAUGCCUUUAGUGUGAUUCAGAAUAACAAAGCAAGCAAUCUCAGUAUGAAAACAUGGCAAAAGUUGUUAUGCGACAUAAACCAAAAUCACUUUUUUCCGCUAAUUAUCUUCCAAACAAGGAUUUGCAAGAAACACAAUUAGAAUCACAUAGCAGUUACUGUACAAUCUCGCGUCAACCAGUUAAUGUAAAAAGUCAUUUAAGAAAAUUUUGGACUACCCAGAUUACCAAAAGCUAACCAGUUGACGUAAAAAGUCAUUUAAGAAAAUUUUAGACCACCCGGAUAACCAAAAGCCAAGAGACCAAAGAAGAACAAUCUAGCUAGAACCAGAAGAAGGCUUGAAUGUGUAAGGCUGAGGAAGUGUCAACGGACCUCUCCUUGUCUCACCACCAUCAUCCAGCAGCCUCGUAACCCUCUUGUUCUUGCAGUACAAUCUAUCAAAAUGCUUCACCUGUCCACAUAAAUUAACAACCAAUAAACUAAAUUAAAUCACUACUCCGUCCCAACUAAUUAGCAAAUCAGAAGAAAAAUACUGCUAAUUUAAUGAAGCUUAUCUCAUAAGAUAGGGACAAUAUCAACCGCUUCAUUGACAUGAAGGGAUAAUGCCCUACCUGAUAUUCAAAAUCAAAUACAAAAUCCAAACUUUAUGAAAUAACUCCCUUGGAAUUCAACAAUUCACAUAACCCUCCUAUAGAUUUGUAUAAAUUUUUAAAAAUUGCAAAGCCUAAAUGCAAUUAACCCAUAAGACUCAUUACAGAAUCAAGCAUCAAUUGGAAUAAUAAUAAUAAAGUAGGAACGAAUGGAAAAAGCCAAAAAAAAAAAAAAGAAGAAAGGAAAUACCCAAGAAGCCCGGCAAUGAUUGACAAACUGGGCUCUCAAAGCUUUGCAUUCAGCUGGGUAUAAGAGACCCACCGAAGCGAUUUCAGUAGGUUUCUUGUUGGAUUCUUUCUCUAAGCAAGCGUAAAAAGCGUCGCGUGACUUGUAGCAGGCUUGUCUCGCUUUCAAGAGCACGUCUGUGUGAACCUCAUCUGCGUUUCUUGAAGCAUAAGCCUCUAGUGCCGCCAUUGCUGCUGAUGCCUCUUCCUAAAAGAACCGAAUUUUGUUUUGAGGCUCGAGUCUUGAGCUUCCGCCUCUGGAGUUUCAGUGCGUUGGUUCGUUCAGGCAAGGUAAGAAGGUUUAACAUUUUGGGCAACUAUUUUGGGCUGGAGUAACAUUUUGGGCCAGUUUUGUGCUGGGCCCGUUUCUGGUUCCGCAAGUAGCAGAAACUCCAUGGUGACAGUGGUCUGGAGUGAACACUACUGGGGAAAUGUGACAGUGGAAGGCACUAAUUAUUAUGGAGCUGCAUGCCCUGCAAUUAAUAAUGACGACAGUGCAGUACUACCAUAUAUCUCCAUUGUCCAUUUGUAUUAUUGCUUGAAUGACUAAUCCCAUUAUUAUUCUCGAAUCUCAUUGUACUAUUUCUUCUAUACUCUCUCCAAUUUCCAAGGACCUUAUCCAUCCUCACAAGUAAAAAAUUGUAACAUAUACACUUUACAACAACCACAUAAAUAAUGGGUCCAUAUAAUUUAUGUGGUUAUUAUAAAAUGUGUUUAUUACAUUUCAUGUAACAUAGCAUUUGCCCAAAAACAAAAGUAAAAGCACUCAAAGCAAAAAGGUUAGGCUAAUGUUUGUAGUCCUUUCCUUCUUUUACUUUUGGAAGACAGGAGUUUAGAGACUCCAAAAAUGUUGCUAUAAACCUUUGGUGCCAUAUUGACUUGCAGAUGCACAUUGCAUUUUUAUAUUUUGUUCUUAUUUCAUUUAAUUUUAAUCUCUGUCAAGAUUCGGAUUGAUCUACUAGCAUUUCCACAAUUUAUUAGUCCACUCCAGCACAAUUUAAAGCAUUGUGUGUUUCUCGAAUACAAUCGAUAAAUCGUGUUUGUACAACAAGGAAUUGACCCUAGACCAUUUUGUGCCAUCUAAAUUCUAUUGCUAUUUUGCAUCAUCCAUAAUGCCCAAAGUGGGUAUUAGAUUACUCAUUAAUGUCACUCUUUUCGUUGACUUAUUUUAUCACUGCAUAGUAUUAGCAGCUACAUUUAUUUCUAGUUUGUGCACAUUAUAUGAUAAGAGAAUCAGCUAGAGUCUAGAGAUGGUUCAUACACAUUAACAUAAAGGAAGCGGCGGUUUAUUCAAGGAUUAGCCGACCUGUAAUUUAAAAAUCAGUGAUCAAUUAUCCAUUUCGGGGUGUGUUUACAUCAUGGAUUGGAAAUUAAAAUUUAGAAUCAGAAUUAUUGACAACAUUUAUUUCAUAAAAUAAGAACGGUAUCAAGAAUUAGAAUCAUGGGGCUCUCCCCAAUUUGAAACUAGCGAAUGACAGACUAAUUCUCGAGGGGAGUUGGGAUUCAGCUUCUGAAUCCCGAGAAUACCAAAACUUCUCCCAUUGUAAAUUUAAAAUUCUGAAAAUACUCUCAUUCAAUUAAAAAAUUUAAAUAGCAAAAAAAAAAAACACAACAAAACGUAGCGAUCUUCGUCGUCUUUGCUAAAUAGUUGCUGCCCAAAUCAACAUCAUUGCUUGUCGCUGGUCGUCGAGCAGCAGAGCAAUAGCAACAGCAGUGUGAUCCGAUGAUGAUGCCGAUGAUGGCAAUAAUGAUGUUGCGAUCUAGAUUCAAUUCUAAUUUGUUGUUGAUGUUGAUGAUGAUGACGUCGAUGACCAUUUUAAUUAUGUUUAUUAUUACUUUUUUAUUUUAUUUAAAAAUAAAAUACAAAGUACUAAUUAUGAUAACACUUAAUUAAGGACUUUACUACAAAAAAUGCUUAUUGCUUUACUACCAAAAAUGAAAAUUUUAAAGAAUAUUAUUGCAUCAAAUUUAAUGUGAAUGUAAUACCUAUUAAUUUUUAUUUGAUUUAAAUUUAUACCUCUCGUUAUAAAGAAAUUUUUCAUGUUUUAUACGUACGAAUUCUAGCGUUCGUUGGAUUUUAACUAAUUGAAGCUUUUUCCACCUAGUAUAAGUUUGCUUGUUUUGGGAAAAGAAAAAGGAAAAAAAAUUUCCACUCCAUAUGAAUUACAGGAAUCCCAAACUUGCACCUCGUCUCUAGAAUUACAAGAGCAGUGCUUUAAGCUCUAUGUUUAAUUAAAUAAAAUAUACGACAAACGCAAAUUCUUCAAAUAUGAUUUCUCUUUGACCAACUUAUGGCUGGCUGCCCUCAAAGUUGCAAAUUGCAGCACCCACUAGCGUUACUUGCAGACGGCGCACUCGCACGACAGAAAAUAAACAAAUAAAAUAAAGCAAAUUAAAUUAUAAAAAUGGGGUUGAAAGGGGCAUUAAUUGUAGUGUAGGCGAGCGCUGACAACAACUUCAGAGGGCUGGCGUUUUAAUUAUGCGGUGGCAGGGCAUUUAAUCAGAAUCUUUCAUUGCAGUCAUUUCUGUGAGCGUUAGGGCUCGCCCACCGCUUACUCUUUUUGGGGUCUGCAAGUUGCUUGAAAAAGAAACCUUUUCUCUCAAUGGAAACAGGCAAACGCAAAACCUAACUGAACUUGCAGAAAUAUUUACUGCAUAUCUAUCCAAUGGGCAUAUUCCGACUUUCGGUCGGUUGUAUCAUUGCCACUGAUGUCACGUAAAUGCACCAAUUAUUAUUAUUAUUAUUAUUAUUAGUUAAAAUUUUUAAAUUUUUCGUUAGUUUCAUGUAUCUUUAAAAAAAUUAGAAAAUGUAUAAAGACUUUGGCAUCAGGUGAGAGUAGGAAUUCCUUAAGUUAUUAAAGUAAGAGGACAGAUUAAAAAAGAUUAAAAAAAAAAUACAUUGUAUUUUGCAUGUAGUGUAUUGGAUUGUAUAUUUUUUUUUGUUUUUUAGCUUAGAUGAUAAAUAUGACACACAGCUUGAUCAUUUAUCCAAUCCACCCAAUACAUCAUUGAUCAAGAUAUCAAACAUGCACUCAACGGUGUUAUGCAAAAUUUUCAUAUACUUGCAAAUGCACAAAUCUUUAGAUAUAGUGCAGUGGUAAUGAGGUCGAACACACAUGGAUUAUUAAAAAUUAAAAUGUCUAAUUUAAAUCUAUAUUAAUAUUAAUCAUAACCUAAUUGAACAAAUUCAGUUUUAAGAUAAAUUAAAUCAAUUAAACUGAGAAAAUAAUCAAAGUAAAGGAGAUAUUAACAAAUUCAGUUUUAAGAUAAAUUAAAUCAAUUAAACUAAGAAAAUAAUCAAAGUAAAGGAGAUAUUAAUAAGACAAAAGUUACCAAGGUUUUAGAAUCCAUCAUUAUUCAACUAAUAGUUAUCUAAUUAUUUUUAAUUUAUGUUAUCUCAUAUAUAUAACAAUUAGACCCAUGUAAUUAAAUCUUAUUCAGGACCUUUUUUUGCUUCAAGGUAUAAUCUCUAAGCAUUAAUAUAUAUCCUAUUGAAAAACAAAGAGUCAAAGAAAAUUACACUAAUCUUUAUUUUGCCAAGUAGUCUUUUAACUAUCAAGAAUAUAUAUGAUAUUGGAGAUGAAAAGAUAAUUAUUCAAUCAAUUAUGUGAAACAAGAAUAAUAAUCAUUAAAGAACACAUGUAAUAAAUUAAUUAAAUAAAAAAUAAUUAUUUAAUUAAAUAAUAUUUUAUUGAAUAGAGUUUUAUCAUCAAUCUCAUUAUAUAUAUAUAAUAUAAAAAAUUAACUAGAUAUAUUUAAAUGGAGAGCGACAAGAUAAAUGGAACCGGGCAUGGGAAAUUGGAUGAUCUGCAGCUUCUUUUCUCCCACGCCCGUUUGGCUUCUCUCUUGAGUCUCUGCUUUCGCGAUUUAAUUAAUAAUUGCAUGUCUCAAUUGCUUAUUUCUUGGCCUUUUUACAAUGUCCCUCCACCGCUUGGCUUUUGUCCUAGUUGGAUUUGAAAUUUUGAUUUGUAAAAGCCAAGGAAAGGAAAAGAUUUAUUUAUUUGCUUGCAUUAUAUGAUGAUUAAAAAAAGAUCAUUUAUUUUCUAAUAAUGAAUGAAUGUCCAUAUAUAGUUUUUUAUUAAUCAAUGCUUGAUUGCUUUGCCAUCUCAAAAUUAAUCGCAUGCAUCGUGCUCUCAUGUGCAAGACUAGCUAUAAUGACCCAAUAACGCGUCCUGUCUUAUUGACUUUUUAUACUUCUUAUCUGUUUAAUCUCCAAUGCUCUCCAAAUUGUACUCCUCGUGCACUUUGUCUCUAAUUAUUUUUCUGUUGAAUAAAAUAAUUCAACUCCCUAAAGUAACUAAUACCUGAUCGAAAUGGCGUUUGACGAAAGAAAGGAGAACUCUAUUCAUUUUUUUUUUUUAAAUAAUUUUUUUCACACUCUCUUUUUCUCCUAUUUUCCUCCAAUAGAAUAAAAGUUUGACAAUUCCCUCAUUCUCUUUCUUACCAAAAUGCACGCACUAAAAUUUUCCUCCUAUCUCAGAGUCCACAGAAAACAUUCUCCACCAAAAUCAAUUGAUUGAAUUGAAAAUGACCAAAAACACAUUUGUCUUACAAACUUGAGCUCCAACUGCUUAUAAGUCAAAAGCUUGUAAAGAAUAUGGCCAUUAUAAAUUUGUAAUCAAGUUAUGAAUUGGUGCUCUACGAUCCGUCCCCACCGUGUCAUUUUAUGGAAGUAAAAGUCUUGGAGAUUUCUCAAUAAUGUUGGGGCCAUUCAUUUUAGCUACAGAGGUUUACUUCAUUGAAUAUUCAAGUAGAAAAUCAAACCAUAAACGACUAAUGAGUUUCUUUAUUGUGAUGAACUAUUUUCCUUGGUCCUUUCUCUGAUUUUUUUUUUUUUUUUUUGUCUAUAACUAUCUAUCUAUGUGCAUCAAAGUGACAUUUUCUGUCGCUGAGAUAUUAUAUAUUUGGCAAUAUUUUAACUUUUAAUAUUUUUCAGAAAAUAUGUCUAGUAAAAAAAUAUACAGCAAUAUCUUUUAAAAAAUAAAUAAGAACCAUUAAUUUCUUAAAAAUUUUGUCUUCGCAUAUUACUAAACAUGUACAGUAAUCCACUACCAACAUACUGUCAUUAAAUGUGAAAUUUUACAAAAAUAAACAUAUGAAUAAAUGAGAACACUAUUAUUCUCAAAUAGAAUAUUUAGAAUGGUACCACAUAAAAAGUUGAGAUCAUGAAUUGAUGGUUAGAUAAUGGAUAUGGAUUUUAUAUUUCAAGUAACUAAUUUUUUUUUCUUUUUUGAAUGAACUAAUGCAUGUAAUAAUCUUUAUUGUAGAGAAGAGAACAAGAAAUUUUUCUUUUAUGAUUUUCUAGAUUAUAAGAUUUGUAAUAGAAGUUAAAAGGAAUACUCAUAGUCAAAUAUUCUAAUGUUAAAUAUUUUUAAGAAACUGAAAAAGGUAAAAAAAAUUUACUAAUUUUUAUUGGAAAAACUAAUAAUGAAUAAAUUAAUUGUUAAACAAUAUUAUUAAUUAUAUCUCUUUAACAAUAAGAUAACAAAUUAUAGGUUUUUGUCUAAAAAAUAAUUCUUAAUUAUAGAAUAAUUAUUAAUUAGAGAGAUGUCUAAUAGGCUUUUCCACUACACAUAAUUUUUUUAAAAAAAAUCUUUAUUAACUAGAGAAUUAUUAAUAAAAUACUCAAAAAAUGAGGCAUUUUGUAAAAUUUAGGGCCUUAGGCGACUGCUUUAUUCGUCUAUACUUAAAGCCGACCCUCUUUUUAGAAAUAACUUUUCAUACUCUCAUAAGUGACUUUUUGAAUUUAGACUAUUUAGAGAGACAUUUAUAUAGACAACAAGUUAAGAAGGUAGAGAAUUUGAAUGUCUAUUUGUGAAACAUUGGCUAUUUGUUAAUCUUUAGUUUAUAAAUGAUGAAAAAUUAGUUGUUUUUAAAAUUUAAAUAAUGAUUCAUAUAUAUAACCUAAAAUAUUAAUAAGAUAUUGGCUUGGAAAAUCAUACAGCCAAACAAAAGAGCCCGAACAAUAACUCCUAAAAUAUUGAUGAUAUACCCCAAAAUUAUGCUUUAGUACUACUAAGGGUGCGUUUGGGAUUGAUGUGUUGUAACUUUUAAGUUAUAGCUACUGUAGAAAAAAAAAACUAUAACUAUAAAACAAAAGUUAGUAAUAUAUAGUAAAUGUAAAUUAUAAAUAAUAAUUUUGAUAAAAUUAUUAAAGUUAUAAUAGAUUUUCCAUUAUACAAAUGAAAAAACGUAUCAAUAUAUCUUCCACGGCAACUAGUGUUUACCAAAUACUUUAAUACUAUAUCGCCCAACCUCAAUCCCAAACAAAGUCUAAGUGUACAAUAAGUACUAGGCCAACUCAAAACCAACUAAAUAACACAAACAUGUCUAUCAUUAGUGCUCAUCUCAUGUUGUAUUGAUUUUUUUUUUAAAAUGUUGUGGUUAAUUUAACCAAUUAUUUAGCCGACUUUAGUCCAGUGUUCUUUGACCAGUCUUCACUGCAGCCAAAAUCCCACAUAAAUGCAUGAACCCGCAUACGGGGUCAUUGAAAGUAAUUAAGCAAUUAAUUAAUUGUUAAUUAAUCCUAAUAGUAGUGAGAUUUCAUUAGAUUAAUUUUCAUUUAUUUUUUGUGGGUCUCUCUUCUCUGUCUCCCUGAUUUGACGCAGUCUUAUCCAGCAGCACAACUUCCAGUCAAAAUCAAACCCACAUUUCCACCGACAAUGGGUCCCUCACAUUGAUAAGGAUCUGACGCCUCAUACUUGUCCUUAGGUGGAAAACGACAUUGUCGUACGUGGCCCAACCACCAAUAAAUCAUGGACACGACCUGAACUCGAACACUCCACUCAACUAAUCUCUCAUCUUCAACUCUUCGAUCAUGUGCUGCUUUGUCCCCUUGCUUUUUUGACCCUUUGCACCAAAAACACCAGUGGUUUCGAUUCCAUUUCACAUCUCUCUCUCUCUAUC